AGUAUUUUGACUAUACAAAGGUAUUGAAAUAAGACUUUAAUUGAGUGCUAAGAGAAUGGAAUUUCAUAAAAUUUCUUUUUUAAUUUUAAAAAUUGAAAUUAAUUUUAUAUGUGAAGAAACAAUAAUAAAAAUUAAGGACAAGAAGACCCUAAGAAUUUUAAAAAUUUCAAUAUAAUAUUAUAUUAUAUUGAAAUUUUUUAAUUGGGGCGAUUAUUAAAUAUUAAAAACUUUAAUUUUUUUAAAAAAGAACCAAUAUUAUUGGUUAUUUGAGAAAAUACUCUAGGGAUAACAGCGUAAUAAUUUUUGAUAGUUCUUAUAGACAAAAUAGUUUGCGACCUCGAUGUUGGAUUAGGAUUCUUUUUUAAUGAAGAAGUUAAAAAAAGAAGUUUGUUCAACUUUUAAAAUCCUA
rnacentral:rRNA from 1 species